rnacentral:rRNA from 1 species
AUUGAACGCUGGCGGCAGGCUUAACACAUGCAAGUCGAGCGAGUGGCGGACGGGUGAGUAAUGUCUGGGAAACUGCCUGCUGGAGGGGGAUAACUACUGGAAACGGGAGCUAAUACCGCAUACCAUCGGAUGUGCCCAGAUGGGAUUAGCUAUUAGGUGGGGUAAAGGCUCACCUAGGCGACGAUCCCUAGCUGGUCUGAUAUGAUGACCAGCCACACUGGAACUGAGACACGGUCCAGACUCCUACGGGAGGAAGCAGUGGGGAAUAGUGCACAAUGGGCGCAAUCCUGAGGCAGCCAUGCCGCGUGUAUGAAGAAGGCCUUCGGGUUGUAAAGUACUUUCAGCGUGGAGGCGUUACCCGCAGAAGAAGCACCGGCUAACUCCGUGCCAGCAGCCGCGGUAAUUC